AUGCUCAUCCAUCUUGGCGGCUCUGCUUGCCUGCUUCUCCUUUCUAACUCAGGUUAUGCGAUCUCUUGUGUUGCUGCGUCCCGAUCUUCUGCUUUGUUGCAUCGCUAUUCUGUCAUCGAGAGGACGUGUAUGUACUUGCUGGGGUGGAAUUCAAAUUGUGAGGGAUGGUUGUGCUCAGAUUUGGUCGCUGCUGGUCGGUUCUUGACUUCAGCGCAUGAAAACCUGCAACUGCUAUCAAGCGAACCACAGGAGGGAGCAGGAGGCAUAGAAGAAAUCCCAAGCCAUUUUUGCUUAGCUGUAGCAUCUUCCACUGACAAUAAGUCUGCACAGCAGCUUGGUGAGUUACACACCAAGCCUAUAUUUUUGCUGCUUCUACAUGUUGCUAUGAUGGUCAUUCAGCCCAUUUUCUUGAACCUGCACUACAACGAGAGACCUGGGCUGCUUCUUUGUGGCUUCCAAACUUGA
rnacentral:rRNA from 1 species